UACGUAGGGUGCGAGCGUUAAUCGGAAUUACUGGGCGUAAAGCGUGCGCAGGCGGUUUUGUAAGCCAGGUGUGAAAUCCCCGGGCUCAACCUGGGAAUGGCGAUGAAGACUGCAAGGCUAGAAUCUGGCAGAGGGGGGUAGAAUUCCACGUGUAGCAGUGAAAUGCGUAGAGAUGUGGAGGAACACCGAUGGCGAAGGCAGCCCCCUGGGUCAAGAUUGACGCUCAUGCACGAAAGCGUGGGGAGCAAACAGG
rnacentral:rRNA from 1 species